rnacentral:tRNA from 1 species
UGUUAUGUGGCUUAGUUGGUUGAAGCACAAUACCAGAGAUACGGAGUCGUAGGUUCGAAUCCCAUCAAAACAA